GGCGUUUGUCGUCCUUUCUAUCUGUGCUUUGUGUGGUGUGGGGUUGUGUGUUCUGGUCUGUGUCUGGAGAACAACACCAACAAAAAGAUAUGGCAUUGACUGAACUGAAUGUACUGAAAUUUGCCCCCGGUGGUCACACUGGUCGGUUCUACAUCUGGAGUAUGGCUGCCUUCUGCUUACUGGGAACCUGGAGUAAACCUUCCUCCAUAGAGGAAAUUGAAUGGUCAACACAUGUUCCAUGAGUCCUGCACUGAAGACUCUCGGUAUAAUGAAGUGUAAUACUUGCGCCUAGACUGCAUAUGGCCAUGUGAUCUUGAAGCAACUUUUUUGUGCCGCAUAAUGAUUCCACUAUCUACAUGAAGAGCAAUGCUGCUAUGGAUUGUGACUGGUCGUGCUGCUAUAUGCUGAUAAGAUCUGAGUAUUGAUGGUGUAAUCCUGACUUGUAUGGGUGGCAUCUUUUGUAAGCCUACAAAUUUCAAGCUGGUCUACUAGGUAUUUUGUACAUCAGCGCUUGGUGGAUUUGGACGUGAUCUUGAGGUGUGAGAAGUUGUAUUCAGUUUGGGGAGUUUGAAGAGGACACUGAAGGGGGUGGAAACCAGAGGAACAUUUAAUUCCAACAACCCUAUAUGUAUGCCUCUGCUUUCAAAGUAUUGGCAUACGGUUUCUUCAUUGUUGGAAUGAGAACUUAUGAAACACCCUAGAUGUUUACAUUAGUAGUUACAUUAAGAUUUGUCCAGACUACUUUAUACAUUAAAUGUAUUAGAAAGUGCAAAGACUGCAGGUCAAGAGUAAGAUGAAGUACAGAAGAACUUUAUACCAAGAUGUCCACCAGUUCCUGCAAUUUGAACAGCUUUGCUCACAUGCUGCAGUUUCUACUCUUUCAAACAAUAAAUAUUAGCAAAUAUGCUUACA